rnacentral:rRNA from 1 species
GACGAACGCUGGCGGCGUGCUUAACACAUGCAAGUCGAACGAUGAAGCCUAGCUUGCUAGGUGGAUUAGUGGCGAACGGGUGAGUAAUACGUGAGUAACCUACCUUUAACUCUGGGAUAGGCCCGGGAAACUGGGUCUAAUACCGGAUACGACCAAUCUCCGCAUGGGGUGUUGGUGGAAAGCGUUAUGUAGUGGUUAUAGAUGGGCUCACGGCCUAUCAGCUUGUUGGUGAGGUAACGGCUCACCAAGGCGACGACGGGUAGCCGGCCUGAGAGGGUGACCGGCCACACUGGGACUGAGACACGGCCCAGACUCCUACGGGAGGCAGCAGUGGGGAAUAUUGCACAAUGGGCGCAAGCCUGAUGCAGCGACGCCGCGUGAGGGAUGACGGCCUUCGGGUUGUAAACCUCUGUUAGCAGGGAAGAAGAGAGAUUGACGGUACCUGCAGAGAAAGCGCCGGCUAACUACGUG